GGGAGCGGCUUCGGCCUCGUGUCCAUCCCCGUGUCCAUCCCCGUGUCCAUCCUCGUGUGCGGCCCCCGCAGAGCGCCUGACCCGGGGGAUCCCCGGGAGGAGUCGCUGGUGCUCGUCCCGCCUCUGCUCGGUAUAGUCUUGACUGGGACCUUGAACUAAGACUGGUGUUUUCACAUCCUGAACUCGACUUGUGUCUGGGCUGUAUGCCCUGGAAAACCAGCCUGGAUACAUUGCCAGCAAUGUCCCUUCAAUUACAGAAGGACCCAUUUCAACCCAUAUAACUGUAACUAGAAUUUUACACUCAAUGUAAACAAAGCAUUUUUAGUUAAAGCUAUUGAAUGCUGAAUGCAUUAAGAAGUGAGAAGAUUUCUGGACAAAAAUAACUGUUAAAUUAUAUAAACCUACAGCAAUACUCUCUUCAGGAAAUUGAUCCUUUUAAUUAU